rnacentral:misc_RNA from 1 species
UGGGUUUGACAUAUGGAGAAAACUCACAUCUCUGUGAGUUUUCUCCAUAUGUCAAACCCAGGUAAGGUUCUUCGCGUUGCAUCGAAUUAAUCAGCAUGCUCCGCCGCUUGUGCGGGCCCCCGUCAAUUCCUUUGAGUUUUAGCCUUGCGGCCGUACUCCCCAGGCGGGGCGCUUAAUGCGUUAGCUGCGGCACGGAGACCUUGGAAGGUCCCCACACCUAGCGCCCAACGUUUACGGCAUGGACUAC